rnacentral:rRNA from 1 species
GAUGAACGCUGGCUACAGGCUUAACACAUGCAAGUCGAGCGGAAACGACGGGGAAGCUUGCUUCCCCGGGCGUCGACCGGCGCACGGGUGAGUAACGCGUAUCCAACCUGCCUCUGACUGAGGGAUAACCCGUCGAAAGUCGGCCUAAUACCUCAUGGCAUCGUCUGCGGGCAUCCAACGACGAUUAAAGAUUUCAUCGGUCAGAGAUGGGGAUGCGUCUGAUUAGCUUGUUGGCGGGGUAACGGCCCACCAAGGCGACGAUCAGUAGGGGUUCUGAGAGGAAGGUCCCCCACAUUGGAACUGAGACACGGUCCAAACUCCUACGGGAGGCAGCAGUGAGGAAUAUUGGUCAAUGGGCGAGAGCCUGAAACAGCCAAGUAGCGUGCAGGAUGACGGCCCUAUGGGUUGUAAACUGCUUUUAUGCGGGGAUAAAGUGAGGGACGUGUCCUUCAUUGCAGGUACCGCAUGAAUAAGGACCGGCUAAUUCCGUG